AUUGCCCUAGUAACGGCGAGUGAAGCGGCAACAGCUCAAAUUUGAAAUCUGGCCUUCGGGUCCGAGUUGUAAUUUGUAGAGGAUGCUUUUGGUGAGGUACCUUCCGAGUUCCCUGGAACGGGACGCCAUAGAGGGUGAGAGCCCCGUCUGGUUGGAUACCGAUCCUCUGUAAAGCUCCUUCGACGAGUCGAGUAGUUUGGGAAUGCUGCUCUAAAUGGGAGGUAUAUGUCUUCUAAAGCUAAAUAUUGGCCAGAGACCGAUAGCGCACAAGUAGAGUGAUCGAAAGAUGAAAAGCACUUUGAAAAGAGAGUUAAAAAGUACGUGAAAUUGUUGAAAGGGAAGCGCUCAUGACCAGACUUGGGCUUGGUUGAUCAUCCAGGGUUCUCCCUGGUGCACUCUUCCAGCCCAGGCCAGCAUCAGUUCGCUGUGGGGGAUAAAGGCUUCGGGAAUGUGGCUCCUCCGGGAGUGUUAUAGCCCGUUGCGUAAUACCCUGUGGUGGACUGAGGUUCGCGCAUCUGCAAGGAUGCUGGCGUAAUGGUCAUCAGCGACCCGUCUUGAAACACGGACCAAGGAGUCGUCUUCGUAUGCGAGUGUUCGGGUGUUAAACCCCUACGCGUAAUGAAAGUGAACGCAGGUGAGAGCUUCGGCGCAUCAUCGACCGAUCCUGAUGUUCUCGGAUGGAUUUGAGUAAGAGCAUACGGGGCCGGACCCGAAAGAAGGUGAACUAUGCCUGUAUAGGGUGAAGCCAGAGGAAACUCUGGUGGAGGCUCGCAGCGGUUCUGACGUGCAAAUCGAUCGUCAAAUAUGGGCAUGGGGGCGAAAGACUAAU
rnacentral:rRNA from 1 species